GUGCCAGAUCCCGGCCAGCAGCAGCAGCAUAUAUCACACUGACAGCGUGCAGGAGGAUGUCCUAUGAAGCUCUCUGUAGCAGCACAGCCCACAUCCCAGGCAGCAGUCUCCUAUCCUACAGACGUAAACCAUGAAAAGGAGGCCUGGAAGGCGAAGGGGUAUGGUCAGGAGUCCUCAGGACUCUGGAGAGAUGGACAAGUCUGAGAAAUAUUGAACGAGGAUGGAUCAAGAAAGGGAUUGAAGGACCAACCUUAUAACGAUGUUGUGGACAUUAACUUAUUACAUUUUUGUAACAAGUUUGGCGCAAGGACUUAUCAUUACCUUUUUGACUAUUUACAUGUAUACAAUGUUUGGUGACUUGUUUUUAGGAUUGUGUCUUUGCUGCCCUUCUAGUGGCGCCCAGGUUUGGUACACAUUCCACUUUCACAUAUUUACAUCUCUAGGGCACCCCACCUGUGAGAUUAAUGUGGCAGCAGCAUAAGUGAGGUCUGAGUGUCAUACUCUUGAUCCCAAUAUUAAGAGUUA